UGGACUGUUCGGUUGUCUCACCCAGAC
rnacentral:piRNA from 1 species